GACGAACCGUGCGAACGUUGUUCGGAAUCACUGGGCUUAAAGGGCGCGUAGGCGGUCGAUCAAGUCUAGGGUGAAAUCUUUCGGCUCAACCGGAAAAGUGCCUUGGAUACUGAUUGGCUCGAGGGAGGUAGGGGCGUGCGGAACUUCCGGUGGAGCGGUGAAAUGUGUUGAUAUCGGAAGGAACUCCGGUGGCGAAAGCGGCACGCUGGACCUCUUCUGACGCUGAGGCGCGAAAGCUAGGGGAGCAAACGGG
rnacentral:rRNA from 1 species